GCUUAACACAUGCAAGUCGAGGGGCAGCGGGAUUGAAGCUUGCUUCAAUUGCCGGCGACCGGCGCACGGGUGAGUAACGCGUAUCCAACCUUCCGUACACUCAGAGAUAGCCUUUCGAAAGAAAGAUUAAUACCUGAUAGUAUCUUAAGCACACAUGUAAUUAAGAUUAAAGAUUUAUCGGUGUACGAUGGGGAUGCGUUCCAUUAGGUAGUAGGCGGGGUAACGGCCCACCUAGCCAACGAUGGAUUGGGGUUCUGAGAGGAAGGUCCCCCACAUUGGAACUGAGACACGGUCCAAACUCCUACGGGAGGCAGCAGUGAGGAAUAUUGGUCAAUGGACGAGAGUCUGAACCAGCCAAGUAGCGUGAAGGAUGAAGGUCCUACGGAUUGUAAACUUCUUUUAUAAGGGAAUAAACCCUCCCACGUGUGGGAGCUUGUAUGUACCUUAUGAAUAAGCAUCGGCUAACUCCGUGCCAGCAGCCGCGGUAAUACGGAGGAUGCGAGCGUUAUCCGGAUUUAUUGGGUUUAAAGGGAGCGCAGACGGGUCGUUAAGUCAGCUGUGAAAGUUUGGGGCUCAACCUUAAAAUUGCAGUUGAUACUGGCGUCCUUGAGUGCGGUUGAGGUGUGCGGAAUUCGUGGUGUAGCGGUGAAAUGCUUAGAUAUCACGAAGAACUCCGAUUGCGAAGGCAGCACACUAAUCCGUAACUGACGUUCAUGCUCGAAAGUGUGGGUAUCAAACAGGAUUAGAUACCCUGGUAGUCCACACGGUAAACGAUGGAUACUCGCUGUUGGCGAUAUACUGUCAGCGGCUUAGCGAAAGCGUUAAGUAUCCCACCUGGGGAGUACGCCGGCACCG
rnacentral:rRNA from 1 species